UACGGAGGGGGCUAGCGUUGUUCGGAAUUACUGGGCGUAAAGCGUGCGCAGGCGGUUUUGUAAGUCUGUCGUGAAAUCCCCGGGCUCAACCUGGGAAUUGCGAUGGAGACUGCAAGGCUAGAAUCUGGCAGAGGGGGUAGAAUUCCACGUGUGAGCAGUGAAAUGCGUAGAGAUGUGGAGGAACACCGAUGGCGAAGGCAGCCCCCUGGGUCGAAAGAUUGACGUCUCAUGCACGAAAGCGUGGGGAGCAAACAGGAUUAGGUAAACCCUGUAGUCCGAGACCAAGUUCGUACUGCAUGACCGUAAC
rnacentral:rRNA from 1 species